AUUCCAGCUCCAAUAGCGUAUAUUAAAGUUGUUGCGGUUAAAAAGCUCGUAGUUGGAGUUCUGCCAGGUGGCGCUCGUCCGCCCAAGUGGUGUGUACAGGGCGUGCAUCUGGCCCUUUCAAGGGGAACGUGUCUGCACUUCAUUGUGUGGUGCGAGAUCCUUGACUUUUACUUUGAGGAAAUAAGAGUGUUCCAAGCAGGCUCUCGUCGUGCAUAGCUCAGCAUGGAAUAAUAGCAUUGGACCUCGAUUCUAAGCUGUUGGUUGCCAGAAGCGAGGUAAUGAUUAAUAGGGAUAGUUGGGGGCGUUUAUAUUCCGUUGUCAGAGGUGAAAUUCUUGGAUUUACGGAAGAUAAACUACUGCGAAAGCAUUCGCCAAGGAUGCUUUCAUUG
rnacentral:rRNA from 1 species